rnacentral:rRNA from 1 species
UACGUAGGGUGCGAGCGUUAAUCGGAAUUACUGGGCGUAAAGCGUGCGCAGGCGGUUUUGUAAGCCAGAUGUGAAAUCCCCGGGCUCAACCUGGGAAUGGCAUUUGGGACUGCAAGGCUUGAGUUUGGCAGAGGAGACUGGAAUUCCUGGUGUAGCAGUGAAAUGCGUAGAUAUCAGGAGGAAUACCGAUGGCGAAAGCAGGUCUCUGGGCUAUAACUGACGCUCAUGCACGAAAGCGUGGGGAGCAAACAGG